GGCGGGGCCGAGUCCAGGCAGGAAUCGGAGUGCCGUAGUACAAUCACAGCUCACUGCAGCCUCAAACUCCUGGGUUCCAGUGAUCCUCCCACCUCAGCCUCCCCAGUAGCUGGGGCUACGGCCCAGUAAAGGCACCAUUCCCCAUUUUACAGCUUGGGAAUCUGAGUUACAGAGCUUGUCUGCACUGAGUCAACAGGAGCAAAUGCUAGAUCAGGUCUAGCUGCAGUACAGUGAUGCAGUCAUAGCCCACUGCAGCCUCAAAUUCCUGGGCUCAAGCAAUCCACCCACAUCAGCUUCCCAAGUAGUUGGGACUACAGGCCCACACUACUAUGCCCAGGAUCUCUCUCUCUCUGCCACCCAGGCCAGAGCGCAGUUGAUGCAGGGCAGGGGAGCCCCGCAGUGGAGCAUAGUGUGUCCAGAACUGGUGGGUUCUUGGUCUCACUGACUUCAAGAAUGAAGCCACGGACCCUCGCGGUGAGCGUCACAGUUCUUAAAGGCGGUGCGUCCGGAGUUUUUUCCUUCUGAUGCUCGGAUGUGUUCAGAGUUUCUUCCUUCUGGUGGGUUCCUGGUCUCGCUGGCUUCAGGAGUGAAGCUGCAGACCUUCAAGGCUGCAGUGCAAUGGUGCAAUCUUGGCUCGCUGCAACCUCUGCCUUCUGGAUUAAAGCAAUUCUCCUGCCUCAGCCU
rnacentral:lncRNA from 1 species